UUAGUCAAAAAUUGUCAAUUUUCACCAAAAUUCAGAUUACCAAACAGAUGAAUACUGAAACAUUUUGAACUUAAAAAGCUAAAACAUUCCAUUUAUACGUGUAUUUCUGUCACAAAUUUGGUAAUUAUAAAUGAGAAUAUAUGAUUGAUAGAGAUAUUUUGGUAGAGAAGGAAUUUUUUUCUCUCUGGACAUGGUGCCCCCUCCCCCUUUUUUUCAAAAUUCAAAAAAAUAUUAAAAAUUUAAAAGAUGGAAUUCAAUUGUGAACAUUUUGAGCAUUAAUACAUGAAAUUUCUUCAAAGGGAGAGAGCAAUAAUAGAACCCCCUACACCAUUUUUAUAUAUUAGGAUCUUUUUUUUGAAAUGGGGAAUGUGUCAAAGAGACAACAACCCAAACAAACAACAUAAAAUAGCCGAAA
rnacentral:lncRNA from 1 species